rnacentral:rRNA from 1 species
GACGAACGCUGGCGGCGUGCUUAACACAUGCAAGUCGAACGGAAAGGCCCUGCUUUUGUGGGGUGCUCGAGUGGCGAACGGGUGAGUAACACGUGGGUAACCUGCCCUUGACUUUGGGAUAACUUCAGGAAACUGGGGCUAAUACCGGAUAGGAGCUCCUGCUGCAUGGUGGGGGUUGGAAAGUUUCGGCGGUUGGGGAUGGACUCGCGGCUUAUCAGCUUGUUGGUGGGGUAGUGGCUUACCAAGGCUUUGACGGGUAGCCGGCCUGAGAGGGUGACCGGCCACAUUGGGACUGAGAUACAGCCCAGACUCCUACGGGAGGCAGCAGUGGGGAAUAUUGCACAAUGGGCGGAAGCCUGAUGCAGCAACGCCGCGUGCGGGAUGUCGGCCUUCGGGUUGUAAACCGCUUUCGCCUGUGACGAAGCGUGAGUGACGGUAAUGGGUAAAGAAGCACCGGCUAACUACGUG